GAUGAAGAACGUAGCGAAAUGCGAUAAGUAAUGUGAAUUACAGAAUUCAGUGAAUCAUCGAAUCUUUGAACGCACCUUGCGCCCUUUGGCCAUUCCGAAGGGCAUGCCUGUUUGAGUAUCAUGAACACCUCAACUCUUCAUGGUUUUCCAUGAUGAGCUUGGACUUUGGGGGUCUUGCUGGCCUGUGGGUCGGCUCCUCUCAAAUGAAUCAGCUUGCCGGUUUUUGGUGGGCAUCACAGGUGUGAUAACUAUCUACGCUUGUGGUUUUCCACCAGGGUAACCUUCAGCAGUGGAGGUUCACUGGAGCUUACAAAUGUCUCUCCUCUGUGAGGACAGCCCUUUGAAUGUUUGAUCUCAAAUCAGGUAGGACUACCCGCUGAACUUAAGCAUAUCAAUAAGCGGAGGA
rnacentral:misc_RNA from 1 species